rnacentral:ncRNA from 1 species
GGAGCAUGUGGUUUAAUUCGAAGCAACGCGAAGAACCUUACCAGGUCUUGACAUCCUUUGACCACUCUAGAGAUAGAGCUUCCCCUUCGGGGGCAAAGUGACAGGUGGUGCAUGGUUGUCGUCAGCUCGUGUCGUGAGAUGUUGGGUUAAGUCCCGCAACGAGCGCAACCCUUAUUGUUAGUUGCCAUCAUUCAGUUGGGCACUCUAGCGAGACUGCCGGUGACAAACCGGAGGAAGGUGGGGAUGACGUCAAAUCAUCAUGCCCCUUAUGACCUGGGCUACACACGUGCUAC